AUGAAGGAAAUACUGAGCAGCAUUCCAUGGAUGCCAAUAUUAAAAGACAAGGGAGUUAACGAUGGAUGGGAAUUUUUUAAAAGUGAAAUACUCAAGGCGCAAAUGCAAACAGUGCCAACAAAGAAAAAAAAUAUGGCACAUGCGAAGAAGCCAGAAUGGAUGUCCAAAGAACUUCUAACUGAGCUAAAACUCAAAAGUGACAUGCACAAGAAGUGGAAAAGGGGAGAAAUCACCAAAGAAGAAUUCAAACAUAUAGCCAACUCCUGUAGGAAAAAGGUUCGCAAGGCUAAAGCGCAAAAUGAGCUCAGGCUUGCCAGGGACAUUAAAAACAACAAAAAAGGCUUUUUUGCUUACGUUGGUAGAAAAAGGAAGAAAAAGGAGGCGAUAGGGCCUCUGCGAGGAGAAGAUGGGGUGAUGGCGACAGGGGAUAGGGAAAAGGCAGAACUGCUUAAUACCUUCUUUGCCUCGGUCUUCUCACAAAAAGAAAGCCAUCUUCAACCUCAGCAACAUGAAAUGGACGAAGGAUUUGGGGAAAUCCAACCCCAAAUAGGGAAACAAGUUGUCCAGGAACACCUGGCCACUCUAAACGAAUUCAAGUCGCCAGGGCCAGAUCAACUACAUCCAAGAGUACUGAAGGAACUAGCGGAAGUUAUUUCAGAACCACUGGCGAUCAUAUUUGAGAGUUCUUGGAGAACGGGAGAAGUCCCAGCAGAUUGGAGGAGGGCGAAUGUGGUCCCUAUCUUCAAGAAGGGAAAAAAGAACGACCCAAACAAUUACCGUCCGGUCAGCCUCACGUCGAUACCAGGCAAGAUUCUGGAAAAGAUCAUUAAGGAAGUGGUCUGCAAACACUUAGAAACAGAUGCAGUCAUUGCUAAUAGUCAACACGGAUUUACCAAAAACAAGUCAUGCCAGACUAAUCUGAUCUCUUUUUUCGACAGAGUUACGAGUUGCGUCGAUACAGGGAAUGCCGUAGAUGUAGCGUACCUGGAUUUCAGUAAGGCCCUCACAACCUUCUGGCAAACAAACUAG
rnacentral:lncRNA from 1 species